rnacentral:rRNA from 1 species
AUUGAACGCUGGCGGCAUGCUUUACACAUGCAAGUCGAACGGUAACAGGUCUUCGGAUGCUGACGAGUGGCGAACGGGUGAGUAAUGCAUCGGAAUGUGCCCAGUCGUGGGGGAUAACGCAGCGAAAGCUGCGCUAAUACCGCAUACGGUCUAUGGAUGAAAGCGGGGGACCGUAAGGCCUCGCGCGAUUGGAGCGGCCGAUGUCAGAUUAGGUAGUUGGUGGGGUAAAGGCCCACCAAGCCAACGAUCUGUAGCUGGUCUGAGAGGACGACCAGCCACACUGGGACUGAGACACGGCCCAGACUCCUACGGGAGGCAGCAGUGGGGAAUUUUGGACAAUGGGCGCAAGCCUGAUCCAGCAAUGCCGCGUGCAGGAAGAAGGCCUUCGGGUUGUAAACUGCUUUUGUACGGAACGAAACGGCCCUCUCUAAUACAGAGGGCUAAUGACGGUACCGUAAGAAUAAGCACCGGCUAACUACGUGCCAGCCGCCGCCGUAACAC